rnacentral:rRNA from 1 species
CGGAGGGAUCAUUAAAGAGUUCUAUAACUCCCAAACCCAUGUGAACAUACCUAACGUUGCCUCGGCAGGUCGCACCUACCUUGUAGCACCCUACCCUGUAGGGCCUACCCGGGAGGUGCGGGUAAGCCUGCCGGCGGCCCACCAAACUCUGUUUGAUAUUGAAUUCUGAACCUAUAACUAAAUAAGUUAAAACUUUCAACAACGGAUCUCUUGGUUCUGGCAUCGAUGAAGAACGCAGCGAAAUGCGAUAAGUAAUGUGAAUUGCAGAAUUCAGUGAAUCAUCGAAUCUUUGAACGCAUAUUGCGCCCAUUAGUAUUCUAGUGGGCAGGACCGUUCGAGCGUCAUUUCAACCCUUAAGCCUUCGUUGCUUAGUGUUGGGAGCCUACGGCAACGUAGCUCCUCAAAGUUAGUGGCGGAGUUGGUUCACACUCUAGACGUAGUAAUUUUUUAUCUCGCCUAUUAGUUGGACUAAUCCCCUGCCGUAAAACCCCCAAUUUAUCAAGGUUGACCUCGAAUCGGUUCAGACAAACUCGCUAAAUUGAAGCAUCUUAGUCAGCGAAGGAAAAGAAACCAACAGGGAUUGCCCUAGUAACGGCGAGUGAAGCGGCAACAGCUCAAAUUUGAAAUCUGGCCCUCGGGUCCGAGUU